GAAGGUGGCCUGUGAGGGUUGCUGGAGGUAUCAGAAGUGCGAAUGCUGACAUAAGUAACGAUAAAGCGGGUGAAAAGCCCGCUCGCCGGAAGACCAAGGGUUCCUGUCCAACGUUAAUCGGGGCAGGGUGAGUCGACCCCUAAGGCGAGGCCGAAAGGCGUAGUCGAUGGGAAACAGGUUAAUAUUCCUGUACUUGGUGUUACUGCGAAGGGGGGACGGAGAAGGCUAUGUUGGCCGGGCGACGGUUGUCCCGGUUUAAGCGUGUAGGCUGGUUUUCCAGGCAAAUCCGGUUCACUUUAAAACUGAGGCGUGAUGACGAGGCACUACGGUGCUGAAGCAACAAAUGCCCUGCUUCCAGGAAAAGCCUCUAAGCAUCAGGUAACAUCAAAUCGUACCCCAAACCGACACAGGUGGUCAGGUAGAGAAUACCAAGGCGCUUGAGAGAACUCGGGUGAAGGAACUAGGCAAAAUGGUGCCGUAACUUCGGGAGAAGGCACGCUGACAUGUAGGUGAAGUGAUUUACUCACGGAGCUGAAGUCAGUCGAAGAUACCAGCUGGCUGCAACUGUUUAUUAAAAACACAGCACUGUGCAAACACGAAAGUGGACGUAUACGGUGUGACGCCUGCCCGGUGCCGGAAGGUUAAUUGAUGGGGUCAGCGCAAGCGAAGCUCCUGAUCGAAGCCCCGGUAAACGGCGGCCGUAACUAUAACGGUCCUAAGGUAGCGAAAUUCCUUGUCGGGUAAGUUCCGACCUGCACGAAUGGCGUAAUGAUGGCCAGGCUGUCUCCACCCGAGACUCAGUGAAAUUGAACUCGCUGUGAAGAUGCAGUGUACCCGCGGCAAGACGGAAAGACCCCGUGAACCUUUACUAUAGCUUGACACUGAACAUUGAGCCUUGAUGUGUAGGAUAGGUGGGAGGCUUUGAAGUGUGGACGCCAGUCUGCAUGGAGCCGACCUUGAAAUACCACCCUUUAAUGUUUGAUGUUCUAACGUGGACCCGUGAUCCGGGUUGCGGACAGUGUCUGGUGGGUAGUUUGACUGGGGCGGUCUCCUCCUAAAGAGUAACGGAGGAGCACGAAGGUUGGCUAAUCCUGGUCGGACAUCAGGAGGUUAGUGCAAUGGCAUAAGCCAGCUUGACUGCGAGCGUGACGGCGCGAGCAGGUGCGAAAGCAGGUCAUAGUGAUCCGGUGGUUCUGAAUGGAAGGGCCAUCGCUCAACGGAUAAAAGGUACUCCGGGGAUAACAGGCUGAUACCGCCCAAGAGUUCAUAUCGACGGCGGUGUUUGGCACCUCGAUGUCGGCUCAUCACAUCCUGGGGCUGAAGUAGGUCCCAAGGGUAUGGCUGUUCGCCAUUUAAAGUGGUACGCGAGCUGGGUUUAGAACGUCGUGAGACAGUUCGGUCCCUAUCUGCCGUGGGCGCUGGAGAACUGAGGGGGGCUGCUCCUAGUACGAGAGGACCGGAGUGGACGCAUCACUGGUGUUCGGGUUGUCAUGCCAAUGGCACUGCCCGGUAGCUAAAUGCGGAAGAGAUAAGUGCUGAAAGCAUCUAAGCACGAAACUUGCCCCGAGAUGAGUUCUCCCUGAGACUUAGAGUCUCCUGAAGGAACGUUGAAGACGACGACGUUGAUAGGCCGGGUGUGUAAGCGCAGCGAUGCGUUGAGCUAACCGGUACUAAUGAACCGUGAGGCUUAACCUUACAACGCCGAAG
rnacentral:rRNA from 1 species